rnacentral:rRNA from 1 species
UACGUAGGGUGCAAGCGUUGUCCGGAAUUAUUGGGCGUAAAGAGCUUGUAGGCGGUUUGUCGCGUCUGCUGUGAAAUUUCGGGGCUCAACCCCGAGCGGUCGUGAGAAACUGGCAGGCUAGAGUGCGGGAGGGGAGACUGGAAUUCCUGGUGUAGCGGUGAAAUGCGCAGAUAUCAGGAGGAACACCGAUGGCGAAGGCAGGUCUCUGGGCCAUAACUGACGCUGAGAAGCGAAAGCAUGGGGAGCGAACAGG